rnacentral:rRNA from 1 species
UACGAAGGGGGCUAGCGUUGUUCGGAAUUACUAGGCGUAAAGCGCGUGUAGGCGGGUCGUUAAGUCGGGGGUGAAAGCCCAGAGCUCAACUCUGGAACUGCCUUCGAUACUGGCGACCUGGACCCAAGUAGAGGCGGGUGGAAUUGCGAGUGUAGAGGUGAAAUUCGUAGAUAUUCGCAGGAACACCAGUGGCGAAGGCGACUCGCUGGACUUGUGGUGACGCUGAGACGCGAAAGCGUGGGUAGCAAACGGG